UACGUAGGUGGUAAGCGUUGUCCGGAUUUACUGGGCGUAAAGGGCGUGCAGGCGGUUUGUUAAGUGCAGGGUGAAAGCUCCCGGCUCAACUGGGAGAGGUCCUUGCAUACUGGCAGACUUGAGGGAGGCAGAGGAAAGUGGAAUUCCCGGUGUAGUGGUGAUAUGCGUAGAUAUCGGGAGGAACACCUGUGGCGAAGGCGGCUUUCUGGGCCUUACCUGACGCUGAGACGCGAAAGCGUGGGGAGCGAACCGG
rnacentral:rRNA from 1 species